rnacentral:rRNA from 1 species
GACGAACGCUGGCGGCGUGCCUAAUACAUGCAAGUCGAGCGAAGCGGCGGAUGGGUGAGUAACGCGUGGGUCACCUGCCCUUAAGUCUGGGAUACCAUUUGGAAACAGAUGCUAAUACCGGAUAUUAAAGGAUGGACCUGGGAUGCAUUAGCUAGUUGGUAAGGUAACGGCUUACCAAGGCGAUGAUGCAUAGCCGGGUUGAGGGACUGAUCGGCCACAUUGGAACUGAGACACGGCCCAAACUCCUACGGGAGGCAGCAGUAGGGAAUCUUCCACAGUGGACGAAAGUCUGAUGAGGCAACGCCGCGUGAGUGAAGGAGGUUUUCGGAUCGUAAAGCUCUGUUGUUGGUAAAGCGGUAAUCAACCAGAAAGUCACGGCUAACUACGUGCCAGCAGCCGCGGUAAUUC